GAAAAUCGCUAGAAUCACAGUGCCCUGGGAGGACAGUUGAACACUUUUGCAGGUCACACUGUGAGUCGGUGUCAGAGGUGGAGUCAGACCUGGUCUUCUUCCCACAUGGAAGCCUUUUCUCUUACUGUGGUGUCAUUCCAAUGAGAAAUGAAACAGCCUGCAGAGUGAGGUUUGACCACCUCUCCUGGUCUUACAUGAUUUGCAAUGCCACAGGCAAAGCUUCAAUCCUAUCUUUUUCAUGCCCCUACUUUUCUCACUCUCCUUCAAGACUCUCUUGCUCAGUAUGAACAGUGGGAACAACAGUGAAUAAAAACCAACAGCUCCUGACCUCAGGUGAUGACAUGGCUCUGAAUAUCAGCAGAGGAUGAAUUUGAGCCCUCCUUCCUGUGCAGAUCACACGUGGUUAGACUUUGUGGUUAAUGCUCAGUGACAGGGUAAUGACGGUCAUAUUUUCUUAAUGUUCUCUGUUGCUUUCUGAACAGGAUCUGGAAGCAAGUAUCCAGGGAGAGGGAAAUAUGAUACUCCCAUUUCAACGGGAUUUCAGCUGGAGAGCAGCAAACACAGCCGGGCGUCGUGAUGGGCUGGAAAUGAAGACAAAAGAGAAGAAAAUUAAAAUGUCCUGCAGGCUGGGUGAGGUGGCUCACACCUGUAAUCUCAGCACCGUGGGAGUCCAAAGCAGGAUUGCUCAAGACCAGAAGUUCAAGACUAGCCUGGACAACAUAGGAUCUCGUCUCUACAACAACAACUUAGCCAGGUGUGGUGGCAUAUGCCUGUAGUCCUACUGACUUGGGAAGCUGAGGGAGAAGGAUCACUUGAGCCCGGGAGUUUGAGGUUGCAGUGAGCUAUGAUGACUCCACUAAACUCCAGCCUGAGUAACAGAGUGAGACAACAUCUCAAAAUUAAAAUAAAACAAAAACAAAAAACUCCUGUAAUCUUGAGCAUUUAAAGUUGAUAACAUUUUUUAUAGCCCUUCAUCAUAUGUAUGUAUAUAUAUGCCACGUGUAUGUAUGGAGAUAUACACACACAGACACACGCAAGUUGUAUUCAACGGUGAUAGGGUUAAAUUUGCACCAUGAUGAUUCAGAAUCAUCUUUCUUUAAAAUGGUCAGAUAUAAACCAUUAACUGGAAAAUAAGCAAUAUAUAUAGAGGGAAAUUAUAGGUGUAGAGAUCUGUGGCUAUUAGACAUGUGUACACUCUCAAAAAUACGAUAGACAUAACUUAAUACUCUACAGUUUAACACAUUGUAACUUCCUAUAUUCCAUAUUCAUUUCUGAUGCCUGCUAUAUGACAUUGUGUGACUUGACCUGAACACGUCAAAGCUUAUCAUUUAUUAAUGAGGAAACUACUUAGCACCAAUGGUUCUCAAGGUUCAUUGUAUAUUUUUGUAUAUUUAAAUUACCUGGGAAGUUUUCAAAAACACUGAAGCCUGGAGCUCACCUCCAGGGACCCUGAUCAGAGAUGGAGUACAAGAGUAAGUUUUCUAAAAGCACCCCAAUGUGUUUCAAAUGUGCAGCCAGGAUUAUGAAUCACUGAGGAAGAUAUGCCAGUUUGACGUAAUAUGUGUUAGUGUGUCCAGAAUUGGUGGGUUCUUGGUCUCGCUGACUUCAAGAAUGAAGCUGGGGACCCUCGCGGUGAGUGUUACAGUUCUUAAAUAUGUCCGGAGU
ensembl:lncRNA